CCCUUAGAGUUUGAUCCUGGCUCAGGAUGAACGCUGGCGGCGUGCCUAAUACAUGCAAGUCGAACGAAUCUCUUUUAGAGAUGAGUGGCGAACGGGUGAGUAAUACAUAGGUAACCUGCCCCUGUGCGGGGGAUAACAGGAGGAAACUCCUGCUAAUACCGCAUAGCCAUGAGCACCGCAUGGAGCUCAUGCCAAAUAUCCUUUAUGGGAUAGCGCAGGGAUGGACCUAUGGCGCAUUAGCUGGUUGGCGGGGCAACGGCCCACCAAAGCAACGAUGCGUAGCCGGCCUGAGAGGGCGGACGGCCACAUUGGGACUGAGACACGGCCCAGACUCCUACGGGAGGCAGCAGUAGGGAAUUUUCGGCAAUGGGGGAAACCCUGACCGAGCAACGCCGCGUGAGCGAAGAAGGCCUUCGGGUCGUAAAGCUCUGUUGUAAAGGAAGAACGGCGCAUACAGGAAAUGGUAUGCGAGUGACGGUACUUUACCAGAAAGCCACGGCUAACUACGUGCCAGCAGCCGCGGUAAUACGUAGGUGGCGAGCGUUAUCCGGAAUCAUUGGGCGUAAAGAGGGAGCAGGCGGCCGCAAGGGUCUGUGGUGAAAGACCGAAGCUAAACUUCGGUAAGCCAUGGAAACCGGGCGGCUAGAGUGCGGAAGAGGAUCGUGGAAUUCCAUGUGUAGCGGUGAAAUGCGUAGAUAUAUGGAGGAACACCAGUGGCGAAGGCGACGGUCUGGGCCGCAACUGACGCUCAUUCCCGAAAGCGUGGGGAGCAAAUAGGAUUAGAUACCCUAGUAGUCCACGCCGUAAACGAUGGUCACUAAGUGUCGGGGGUCAAACCCCGGUGCUGCAGUCAACGCAAUAAGUGACCCGCCUGAGUAGUACGUUCGCAAGAAUGAAAC
rnacentral:rRNA from 1 species